rnacentral:rRNA from 1 species
GUAGUUAGCCGGGGCUUCCUCCUUGGCUACCGUCACUUUCUUCGUCACCAAGGACAGAGGUUUACAAUCCGAAGACCUUCUUCCCUCACGCGGCGUUGCUGGGUCAGGCUUUCGCCCAUUGCCCAAUAUUCCCCACUGCUGCCUCCCGUAGGAGUCUGGACCGUGUCUCAGUUCCAGUGUGGCCGAUCAGCCUCUCAGCUCGGCUACCCAUCGUUGGCUAGGUGGGCCGUUACCCCGCCUACUACCUAAUGGGACGCGAACCCCUCCUUCUGCGGAUUGCUCCUUUGACCCCUGAGCCAUGCGACUCUGUGGUCUUAUGCGGUAUUAGCACUUGUUUCCAGGUGUUAUCCCCCUCAAAAGGGCAGGUUGUUCACGCGUUACUCACCCGUUCGCCACUAGCUAUAAAUCCGAAAACCUAUAGCCCGUUCGACUUGCAUGUGUUAGGCACGCCGCCAGCGUUCGUCCUGAACCAAGAUCAAAUUCUGA